GACAGAGGUGCCAAGCGUUAGGCGGAAUCACUGGGCUUAAAGCGUGUGUAGGCGGAUUCCUAAGUACCUUGUGAAAUCCCACGGCUCAACCGUGGAACUGCUUGGUAUACUGGGUGUCUUGAGCUACUUAGGGGCGACUGGAACAAAUGGUGGAGCGGUGAAAUGCGUUGAUAUCAGAAGGAACGCCGGCGGCGAAAGCGGCGCACUGGACCUUUUCUGACGCUGAGGCGCGAAAGCUAGGGGAGCAAACGGG
rnacentral:rRNA from 1 species